rnacentral:rRNA from 1 species
GAAUAGUGACGAGUAUGUUGGGAUGUAUGGACGUCUAUAAUCUAGUAUGAGAAAUUAAUGAUUUAAGUCCUUCUUAAAUGAGGCCAUUUACCCAUAGAGGGUGCCAGGCCCGUAUAACAUUAAUGAUUACUAGAAGAUGUUUCCAAAGAGUCGUGUUGCUUGAUAGUGCAGCACUAAGUGGGUGGUAAACUCCAUCUAAAACUAAAUAUAACCAUGAGACCGAUAGUAAACAAGUACCGUGAGGGAAAGUUGAAAAGAACUCUGAAUAGAGAGUUAAAUAGUACGUGAAACUGCUUAGAGGUUAAGCCCGAUGAACCUGAAUAUCCAUUAUGGAAAAUUCAUCAUUAUGUAUAUAAUAUAUAAAUAAUAUUAUAGAAAUAGUGUGCAUUUUUUCCAUAUAAGGACAUUGUAAUCUAUUAACAUAAUAUAUAUUUAUCAAAAGAUCAUUUGCUUAUGUUUAUUCAAAUUAAUAUGCUUGCAUGUUAACACAGAAUAAAUGCUUAUGAUUUGAUAAAGUGUUGAUAGAUUAAUAAUAUAUAGUGCUUAAAUACUUUUGUAUUUUACAAUAGCAUAAUUAUCUUAUGAUUUUUGUGUUUAUUGUAUGCGCUUAUAUGAUUAACAAUGCGAUAGAUUCAGGAUACCUUCGGGACCCGUCUUGAAACACGGACCAAGGAGUCUAACAUAUGUGCAAGUCAUUGGGAUUAUUUAUAUAAACCCAAAGGCAUAAUUAACUUAACUGUUUUUAAAUGGGAUUAGUUUUUAGUCAAUUAUUUGUCUAUUAAUUCAAUCCCGGGGCGUUCUAUACAGUAAUGAAUAAUAAUAUUUAGAUUAUUUAUACCUCUAACUAGAGCGUACCUUGAGCAUAUAUGCUGUGACCCGAAAGAAUGGAGAAAUAGUAGUUAUUCAUGAGGAUGAUCUCUUAAACGUGCGCAGUAUGUG